rnacentral:antisense_RNA from 1 species
UUUUAUGGUGGCUGUGUGUGGGAGACCUUCGGGUCUGCCGGGUUCCUUCGUAUCCUCGGUCUGCGAACCCACGCGCAGCUACCACCCAU